GCCCACCAAAGUGAUUGUGGGUGGGGUUCCCACACAAGACUGGUUGCUUCUGUGCCUACACUCUCAAGAGAGGGAUCUUCCACAAGGCAAGCUCAGGGAGGUCUGAGGCUUAUGGAAGCCAGUGAAGAAAAAGGAUGGCGCCCAUAGCCCCUUCCUGGACUUCCAAGAAGAGCCUGCUCUUUCUGCAACCUGCACCACAGUCUUGUGCUUCAUUUCCAUUAGAUGUUCUCCUGAAAUACAUAGGGAACCCAGGCCUGUGCUGGAGUCUAAGUGGCAAAAUCAUAAGAGUCUCAAGAAGACAGAUGGAGUUUUGCUCUUGUUGCCCAGGCUGGAGUGCAGUGGUGCAAUCUUGGCUCACUGCAACUUUCACCUUUCAAGUUCAAGUUAUUCUCCUGGCUCAGCCUCUAGGAGUAGCUGGGAUUAGAGGUGUGCCCUACCACACCCAGCUAAUUGUGUGUUUUUACUAGAGACAGGGUUUUGCCAUGUUGAUCAGGCUGAUCUGGAAUUUCUGACCUCAGGUGAUCCACCCGCCUCACCCUCCAAAGUGCAGGGAUUACAGGUGUGAGCCACCAUGUUUGGCCCUUGUAUUUUUUAAAAUUGAGAAUAAAACCAUCAUUGACUACUAAACGAACAAACAAAAAAAGCAAA